rnacentral:lncRNA from 1 species
AGAAGGAGAAAGCUGGGAGACGGGCAGGAAUAAUCGAGAAAGAGAGAGAGACCAAGAGGAACAAAAAAAGAAUAAUUGCUGGCCGACGAUGUGUAGGAGGUGAGAUACCCUUCUUCAAGUAUGAGGUUUUCUUUCAUAGCCUCAUUUCUUCUACAAUCACAAGUGGGUAAGUUUUAUACAAACUUAAAUUUCUUAUUUGGCUCCAAUAAGUGAUAAAGAAGUUCAAUUUAUUGAUGGUUUAGUAUGGGUAAACUAUUUUUGAAGCUUUUAAGUUAUGUGAAUCAAAUAUUUAUAAAUUUUCGGGUUGGAGCUUUGUUAAUGAAAAAUUCAGCAAGUAAUUGGAUUAAAAUUGAAAUUUAAAUAAAGAAACCAAAAGGUAAGUGAGGAUUUGGGUCAACUAAUGAAUUGUUUGGCACACGUAUAUGUUUAGUGGCUGAAAGUAUUAAGAAGGGAACGUACCUAAUUGCAUAGCUUGAUGCCAGUGCGGAGUAGUAGUAAACUGAUGAAGAAGAGAUCAAUUGUAUUUAACUGGAAUUCGAUUUAGCCUAAAUGUGGUAAGUUCUUUAUUUAGUAAUUUUAAUAUUAUAGAGCAAAUAAAAAGGGACACUAUUUAUAGUGUAAAUUCAAGAUGUUGGAAGGCAGUAUGUUAUUGUGCCAAUGUAGUGGGGAAAUGAAUGUGGAAAAGAUAUUCUGUAAAUAAACCGGUAAAUGGGAAAUUGUGUAUAUAUUGGCAUAUGGAUAUGUGUGCCCACUUGACUAAAAUGGGAAGAAAGAAAUGAAGAAAUAAUAGUUGAGAUUUUGAGGUUUCCUAUCCAUGUAUGGGUUCGGAAAUUGGAUUCAAUAGUUAUUAAUUUGAAUAAAUGAUUCAUUUUUCAGGAGAUAGCGAGACUGAGAAAUCUUGUUGGUGGAAUUAAUCUUUGUUCGAUACAUAGUCCUGUGAGUGGAAAAAUAUAAAUCUUUUUAAAGUAUUUAUAAAUUAAGUUUAUUGUUAAAGUAUGUGCAAUUAUAUGCAAUUAUGUAUUCGAAUUACAUGGUUAUUAUGAAAAUAUCUUUUAUUAUGAUGCAUGUGGGAUUUCAAAGAUUGUAUACGGUACAUUGUGAAUUGAAAUAUGAGAUGUGAUUUUGAGAUCGACUAGAAAAGUACCCGUGAUUUUAUAUUUCUUCUAGUUCACUGAGGGGCAUUAGCCGUGUUCUAUACUACACUGAGGGGUCUUGGACCGAGGUUGAAGGGGUCUCGACCGUGUACAUAUAGUUCACUAAGGGGCAUAGGCCGUGUUCUAGAAUUGAUUGUGAGAGGUCUUGAGACCAGCUUUCGUUCACGGAGAGGCCAAAGGCCCGUGGCGAAAGUUCUUAGCCCGAGGGUCGGAUUACAGAUUUUAGUCAGAUGGUACAUUUUUUGGUGGAUUUUUCAGUACAUUUGAUGUGAUGGGAUUAUAGCAUAAUUACCAGCUUAUGUUUAUAUCAUGACUUGAGAUGAUAUUUUACCACGCUAUAUGAAUGUCUCACGUUUUGACUAUAAUUACAUGAUGUUAUCUUGGGAGUUAUCAAUGAUAUGAACUCGAUUUUCGAUAAAAAUGUAAAAAUGAAAAAAGUAUAAUUAUUUUCGAGCUUCUCUACUCACUGAGCUAUCAACUCAUAUAUUUUUCCGUAAUUUUUCUACAGAUGGAAAUUGAUUGUUUCUAGCUGGAAGAGCCUAAUGAUUUCAGAAUGAGAACCACACGACAUGUUGAAUAUUAUAACUCAUAUUGAUCAAGCACGAAGUAAAUAUUUUGGGCCCAUUGCAUUAUGUUUUACAUAAGCAUUUGAUUUUGUUGUAUUUUUUGAAAUAACUCAUAGUUAGCCUCGGUGAUAGAUUUGACAUCUAAUCAGCAUCUAUCAUCGGCGCACGUCACAUUUCGGGUCCAUUAGGGUGAUUUGGGACGGGGUCGUAUCAGUGUGACUUUCUUAUAAAAUUGUGCUUCAUUUUCACUUUCUAUUUUCAUCACACUAUCGAUUUUUAUAUCUGGUUCCUGUAAUACAACUAACGUUUUAGAAUAAAAAAUGCUAAAGUGUUAAAGCAAGUAAUAUUAAACAAUGUUAGAAUUUUAAUUUUACCUUUUCGAAAUGGUUCAUUAUGUCAUUGGAAGUAGUUUCCAAUAAUAUUUCUAUUGUGUCCC